rnacentral:rRNA from 1 species
UACGUAGGGGGCAAGCGUUGUCCGGAAUCAUUGGGCGUAAAGAGCGUGUAGGCGGCCCGAUAAGUCCGCUGUGAAAGUCCAGGGCUCAACCCUGGGAUGCCGGUGGAUACUGUCGGGCUCGAGUCCGGAAGAGGAGUGUGGAAUUCCCGGUGUAGUGGUGAAAUGCGUAGAUAUCGGGAGGAACACCAGUGGCGAAGGCGACUACCUGGCCUGUUCUUGACGCUGAGGCGCGAAAGCUAGGGGAGCAAACGGG